CAACCCGGAGAACUGAAACAUCUAAGUACCCGGAGGAGAAGAAAACAAGAGUGAUUCCGCCAGUAGCGGCGAGCGAACGCGGAUCAGCCCAAACCAUACUUGUUACGGCAAGUGUGGGGUUGUAGGACCACGAUAUUCUGUGCUUUAUGAAUUGGAACACUUUGGAAAGGGUGGCCAUAGACGGUGAUAGCCCGGUACAAGUAAAGACAGUUACAGAUAGUGGUAUCCUGAGUAGUGCGGGGCACGUGAAACCCUGUAUGAAUCUGUGGGGACCAUCCCAUAAGGCUAAAUACUCCUGAGAGACCGAUAGUGAACCAGUACCGUGAGGGAAAGGUGAAAAGAACCCCGAACAGGGGAGUGAAAUAGAUCCUGAAACCAUACGCUUACAAGCGGUCGGAGCGAUAAGUGACGGCGUGCCUUUUGCAUAAUGAGCCUACGAGUUACUUUAACUAGCGAGGUUAAGUGGUUCAGCCACGGAUCCGUAGCGAAAGCGAGUCUGAACAGGGCGACAUAGUUAGUUUGAGUAGACGCGAAACCGUGUGAUCUACCCUUGGGCAGGUUGAAGCUGUGGUAACACACAGUGGAGGACCGAACCCGUUGACGUUGAAAAGUCUUGGGAUGACCUGAGGGUAGGG
rnacentral:rRNA from 1 species